UACGUAGGGUGCGAGCGUUAAUCGGAUUUACUGGGCGUAAAGCGUGCGCAGGCGGCCCGUUAAGACAGGUGUGAAAUCCCUGGGCUCAACCUAGGAAUUGCGCUUGUGACUGGCGGGCUCGAGUACGGUAGAGGGGGGUGGAAUUCCUGGUGUAGCAGUGAAAUGCGUAGAGAUCAGGAGGAACACCGAUGGCGAAGGCAGCCCCCUGGGCCUGUACUGACGCUGAGAUGCGAAAGCGUGGGGAGCGAACGGG
rnacentral:rRNA from 1 species